AUGAAUAAAGGCAACAGUAGUAUACCGCUGUUCAAACUCAUAAAUCCAUGGACAAAAAAACAAAAUCGGGGUAACAAACUAAAACUGAGGGAAACGCAUAAAUAUAAGAGGAGAACAACGACACAACACUACAAUGUAACACACACAGAAACGGACCAAGCAUCAGACAAAAUCCCACGAGAAUAACAAAUAUAAGAUCAAAACCAAAUACAAGAAUUUGAGAGAGACAAGUACCGUGACACGUCUUAUCGCAAUGUCAAUUUACACUCAAAAAUAAGAGAAAACAAACGACGCAACGUUAAAUUGUUACACACACAGAAACGAACUAUAAUAUAACAAUGGCC
rnacentral:lncRNA from 1 species